AACGAACGCUGGCGGCAUGCCUAACACAUGCCAGUCGAACGAGACCUUCGGGUCUAGUGGCGCACGGGUGCGUAACGCGUGGGAACCUGCCCUUAGGUUCGGAAUAACUCCCCGAAAGGGGUGCUAAUACCGGAUAAUGUCUUCGGACCAAAGAUUUAUCGCCUUUGGAUGGGCCCGCGUUGGAUUAGCUAGUUGGUAGGGUAAAAGCCUACCAAGGCGACGAUCCAUAGUUGGUCUGAGAGGAUGAUCAGCCACACUGGGACUGAGACACGGCCCAGACUCCUACGGGAGGCAGCAGUGGGGAAUAUUGGACAAUGGGCGAAAGCCUGAUCCAGCAAUGCCGCGUGAGUGAUGAAGGCCUUAGGGUUGUAAAGCUCUUUUACCCGGGAUGAUAAUGACAGUACCGGGAGAAUAAGCUCCGGCUAACUCCGUG
rnacentral:rRNA from 1 species